UCUCCCUCACUUAGAACUCCCACUAACAUUCAAAUGACUUUGUUGUCAUGUUGUCUUAAUACGCCUUGCUGCCAGUAACCAGACACAAAGCACUUUUGGUUCACUUUUCUUGUCCACUCGUCUUCCAUGUGUCUUGGCCACUUCUUCAAAACAGCAUCAUAUGUUGCUGAAAAGGCAAUUUCAUGUUUAGCUUAUAAGUAUUUUGAGGAAACACUGUUGCAAGAACAUGCAGGUAAUGUAGAAAAAUAUAAUUUGUCAGUCACAUGUUCAGUUGAAUUGAAUUGACUAGGUGUUGUGUAUUGUAACCUACAGCAACAGGUGGUGCGCAAUGUAGGAAAUGCUGAGGAAGGAAAUUGAUGCGCUCUAUGCGUGGGACAUGUGUGUCGUUUUUAGACGCAACUGAACUGGCCGUUCCCAGUGUGCGAUCUGUGGUUUCUUGAACAUCUUGUGGAGUUGUAACAGUUAUGUCAGUUUCUUCUUCGGUACAAAUCCGCUUAAACGCAGUGGGUUUGGUACUUCUUGCGUGCAAUGUGGUGUGCAUUGCCUGGUUUUUGCUGUCAAAGGAAUCCCUGAACGGGCGUGACCCUGGAAACUCAUCCUCUAAAGCACAUUGGUUCCUUAAAGUAUCCAGAGACGACAGCCACACUGAAGUGUUAGGCCCAGUGAGAUGGGAGCAGGAGCACAACCCCAGGGGCAUGUCCUUGGACCCGAGCAAGACUCGGAUCGCCGUGGACGACGACGGAAUUUAUGUAGUGUUCGUGCAGGCCGUCUUCAUUCUGAGGAGCGGGAGCACGGACACUGGACAGACGGACAAAAGAGUCCGCCUACGGCUCCAGCUCAACACCAAUGGCACUGAUGGGAUCCCCGAGGACCAGUUGGUUGCAGCCUGGGACGAACGAGAGGUUAAGGACGUUCACGACGAGCAGAUAGUGCAUCUGAGUUUCAUGGUGCUGCUGGAGCUGAAGAAAAGCCAGUACAUACGCGUCAUGGCCAAGCACCGGGACAAGCUGGACUACAACACACCACUCUCCACGUUCCUAACCAUCGUCAAGCAUUCCGAUUUGCAGGACUAAAGCGUGCUCUGAAUGUGUUGCCUGUUUUGACAGAAGUCCUUUUUCUCAAUCGCCAUCUGUCCAUUUUGACCCUAACCAACCUGCUCACAGGGUAAGGGUCAACCAGCUUCCAGCGCACUAUCAGCACUAUCCUACCUUAGCAUCAAUGGGCAGAUUUGCUUACGUUGCCCCCUCUUGUGCAGUGAACCAUUAGUUAUCUGUGGUUGAAAGUUCCUAGAAAUGCUUUGGGUGUCUUUUUUUUUUUGCGACUCCCGCUCAGUGGCUGUGUCGCAUGGGCCAGAGUGUGGAAAAUUCUCCACUUGCAUGGUUGCGACCGUAUUGCAUAACAGCUGCGAGUUUACUGUUCACAGAAUGCCCGUAGAAAACAUCAGCGCCAACAUCAGGAACUGCCACAUGCCUUUGUUCUCGUCACUGCACACUUUACAGCACUGGCCCUUUAGCCAAUCCUCUUCUGUUAUCGGGUACGAUGGAAGGUUUAGUGUCCUGAAUUAUUAAUAUGCAUUGUCAGUCUAGCGAUGAUUAGCUCUACUUAUUAUUUUUAUGGCACUUCCUGGUAUUUUAACACACAUUUAUAGCAAUAACAUUAAAUUCUCACACUUUAUCUUUCAGUCUUCAUUCUUUUUUGUAUUAUGGUUCAUUCAGAUUUAAACAAGCUAUGUUGAGGGGAAUCUUCAAACUAAAUAUAUGUACAGAAGUUUAUGUAUAUGAACAUAUUGUAAGUUGUGUUUUUGUAAUUUAUCUGGACAUAUUUUUUGGCCUUUUGUUCUUGGUGUCUGUUCUGUGCUAUCACACUGCUGGUAAAGAAAGCCUUGUUCUAUGUGUUUCUGAAUCAUGUAAGCCAGUAACUGGUACACAUAACAUUUAAAUGUUGCUCUGAAAGCAACCAAUCGUAUGUAUGCUAACUGAAGUGGGCCAUUUCAAAAUCAGCAGGUAGAUGAGGGUAAUUUGUGAAAAAGCGACCCUCUUGAAUUCAAUUUUUGUAAAUUUAGUUGAACAAAAAAUACACAGUAUUUAACUUUCUGGGGAUGAGUUCUUGAUCGUGCUGACAAAAAUCUGUCAAACAUCUGGGCACUUUCCUCUCAGCUAAGGAAAUAAUUGCCACAAAGCUUCCACUGGUCGUUAAUUGUGUGUAACAUGUUUCACAUCAGGUUUAAUAUCUGAAUAUAUGAUGCCUGUAACACAUAGCAUACAUUAUUAUGGCAAAGGAGUGAAAGUGUGAACUCUCUUGUGUGAGAAAAUCUCUUGUAAUGAAGUCAUGUUUUGUCUGGAUUUAGUUUCAGUGACUCACAACUUGCCACACUCUUCACUUGGACCAGAUAUCUGUGUACUGUAUUCUGCAGGCAACAUAGUUUGUUGAAUGUAUUUCUAUUACCAAGAACCACUGCUAUGGUAAUAUGUUUGUAAUUAUCUAUUUAUAUCUAAAUUAAAAAGCUGUAAUAAGUUUACUAACUGUAAUAAUCUAUUGUCAUGCUGAUUCAGUGCAGUAUUUAUGUAUUUAUGCUCCAAUAAAAUAUUAACAAUAUAGCCCUUUUGUGCCACAGGUGUGAGUAUGUGUUUAUUGUGUGGUAAUGUUAAGAGGGGAUAAUUAACUUAAUGGCUUAGUUCUCAGUCCUCAUAUAGUGUUGGAGGGAAAGGGG
ensembl:lncRNA